UACGGGGGGGGCAAGCGUUGUUCGGAAUUACUGGGCGUAAAGGGUUCGUAGGCGGCCAAUUAAGUCCGACGUGGAAUCCCAAAGCUUAACUUUGGAACUGCGUCGGAUACUGGAUGGCUUGAAUUCGGGAGAGGGAUGCAGAAUUCCAGGUGUAGCGGUGAAAUGCGUAGAUAUCUGGAGGAAUACCGGUGGCGAAGGCGGCAUCCUGGACCGACAUUGACGCUGAGGAGCGAAAGCUAGGGGAGCAAACGGG
rnacentral:rRNA from 1 species